AGCGGCGGACGGGUGAGUAACGCGUGGGUAACCUGCCUCAUACAGGGGGAUAACAGUUAGAAAUGACUGCUAAUACCGCAUAAGACCACAGCACCGCAUGGUGUAGGGGUAAAAACUCCGGUGGUAUGAGAUGGACCCGCGUCUGAUUAGGUAGUUGGUGGGGUAACGGCCUACCAAGCCGACGAUCAGUAGCCGACCUGAGAGGGUGACCGGCCACAUUGGGACUGAGACACGGCCCAG
rnacentral:rRNA from 1 species